rnacentral:rRNA from 1 species
GACGAACGCUGGCGGCGUGCCUAAUACAUGCAAGUCGAGCGGACGGACGAGAGGUUGCUCCCACACACGCAGCCGCCGACCGGUUGGGAACACCUGGGCAACCUUCCUGUAAGACCUGGAUAACUUCCGGGAACCGGGGCUAAUACCGGAUAAAUCUUUCCCUCACAUGAGGUAAAGCGUGAAGAUCGCAUCUCGCUUUAACUUACAGAUGAGCCCGCGCCGCAUUAGCUAGUUGGUAAGGUAACGGCUUACCAAGGCGACGAUGCGUAGCCGACCUGAGAGGGUGAUCGGCCACACUGGAACUGAGACACGGUCCAGACUCCUACGGGAGGCAGCAGUAGGGAAUCUUCCGCAAUGGGCGAAAGCCUGACGGAGCAACGCCGCGUGAGUGAUGAAGGUCUUCGGAUCGUAAAACUCUGUUGUCAGGGAAGAACAAUUGUCUAAGUAACUAUCCGCGUCUUGACGGUACCUAAUCAGAAAGCCACGGCUAACUACGUG